UCAGACUGCUAAAAAUGGGUCAGGCAGGGUUCAGUCUGUUCAGACAUGUUUCAAAAAUAUUCAGACAAAUAAUGUCAUGAGGAAACUUUUCUUCUGAUUUAUAAAAAAAACCUCAAACACUUGAUGAAUUAAGUCAGCAAAAUGCAAGAUUGAGCAUAACAUUUCUUUAACAAGCUUAUUACUAAUUUAAGUUUUGAAUUCCAAAAAAAAAAUCUUUGGGUUACUAUGAAAAAAAUAUUCUGACCCUCAAGUUCUGAAAAAAUAUUCGGACUUUCAAAGAAAGGGGAAAAAAAGAUCUUUUUCUCCAAGUAAAAAAAAUCCUGGGAGGCCCCUCACACUAUCCCCCUCCUCCCCCGCCCUUGAAACAAGUGUACAAGUGAAAUUGCAUUUACAGAUUGGAUAGACAGGAUUUUCUUCAUAGGAGUUAGUGCAUUUAAGCUGGAUAUUCAGUUACUUCAGGCCAGUUAAGUAAGAUGUUGUACAACUACAGGACUCUCAAUCUCACUCAAGUUGAUGGGUCAGUUGCACGAAUGGUAACUGUAAUUCACACUGGUCACGGGAAAAAGUGCCGCUGUGUGGGAAUCAAUUGUAGUUUCUCCGGAAAAGAUGUUACAGCCAGUGUAUGAAGACUGAACUUUUGAUAGGUCACAGGUGCUCUCGCAAAGACUGAUGGCCUGGCAGCAUAAACUAUUCUAUGGUUAUAGGGGUAAUGUCUUUAAACAGAAGCAUGCUGUUGUGGAGUGAAAGUGCACAAACCAUUGAUAACCCUUUGGAGAAUCAGUACCAGUGUCAAACAGUCUUCGGAUCCUAGAGAAUCAGUUCCUCCAAAUGAACAAAUCACCACAGUCAUAAAAAUUAUGGGCAGAGAUAUUUCAUGGAAGAGAGAUAACAUGACAAUACAAAAAUAGGUGUUGCUGUGGAUUCGGAGGUGAAGUCAUGAGGAGUUGUUGUGAUGGCAGAAGAAUGAGUGAUCAUUUAGCAUUUUGCACAAGGGUGUACGAGUGGUCCAGUUAAACAGAGAUUACAAACAAUUAAAACUAUAAUUUGAUAUUACAUCUACUUGUGAUUGAUGAAAGUAAUUCAAAGUAUCAUUUGGACAGAUCUGAUGAGUUAACAAAUAUUUGAAAGUAUACGAGUAACAUUUUACACACCUUCAAUAUUAGUAUGUUG